rnacentral:sRNA from 1 species
UUGUUGAUGGGCUGUGUCCAAAUAAAUC